AGCGAACGCUGGCGGCAGGCUUAACACAUGCAAGUCGAGCGGGCGUAGCAAUACGUCAGCGGCAGACGGGUGAGUAACGCGUGGGAACGUACCUUUUGGUUCGGAACAACACAGGGAAACUUGUGCUAAUACCGGAUAAGCCCUUACGGGGAAAGAUUUAUCGCCGAAAGAUCGGCCCGCGUCUGAUUAGCUAGUUGGUGAGGUAAUGGCUCACCAAGGCGACGAUCAGUAGCUGGUCUGAGAGGAUGAUCAGCCACAUUGGGACUGAGACACGGCCCAAACUCCUACGGGAGGCAGCAGUGGGGAAUAUUGGACAAUGGGGCGAACCCUGAUCCAGCCAUGCCGCGUGAGUGAUGAAGGCCCUAGGGUUGUAAAGCUCUUUUGGCGGGGACGAUGAUGACGGUACCCGCAGAAUAAGCUCCGGCUAACUUCGUG
rnacentral:rRNA from 1 species